CGCACCUUGCGCUCCUUGGUAUUCCGAGGAGCAUGCCUGUUUGAGUGUCGUGAAAUUCUCAACCCAUAAAUCCUUGCGGUUUACGGGCUUGGACUUGGAGGCUUUUGCUGGCUUUGCAGUCGGCUCCUCUCAAAUGCAUUAGCUCGAUUCCUUGCGGAUCGGCUCUCGGUGUGAUAAUUGUCUACGCCGUGACCGUGAAGCGUUUGGCGGGCUUCUAACCGUCUCUAUGAGACAGCUUCAUUGACAUCUGACCUCAAAUCAGGUAGGACUACCCGCUGAACUUAA
rnacentral:misc_RNA from 1 species